rnacentral:lncRNA from 1 species
ACUUGCUCAAUAUUGGUUUUUAUCUAAUCAAUCCUUUCCCCCCGAGUACAGUCCACAUAAAACAGGGGAACAUCGCGUCAUGUUAUUCAUUUCACAUAGUUUACAUGGUGUGACGGUAGUAAUCAAAAUAGUGCUGUGGCAUUGGCGCCAUUCAACGGUUCAGAAAGGUUUCGAAUCAGUAAAAUGGCGAUCUCUAUACCCAAGAGUGUGCAUGAGAAGCUGUGUAGAAGAACCUGCUGUGAAGAGGGGGAACAACAUCUUCGCUUUUUCACCCUCGCUCUGCUGCUGAUGCUCCUCGUUGCCGUCUACAUCCUACUGGCCAUUUACUUCUCUCUCACUGCGCGUUCCUCUCCUCGCCCCGGCAAUCUGUUCAAAGGAAAUCUCUAAGUGUCGGAACCUGUGGAAUACAGCUCUACUGGAACAUUAUAUCAAGUGAUAUUUUAUAUAUCAGUAACUAAUGAACAUUGGUAACUAAUGAUUUUUUUUGUACAGUGCCUUGAAAAAUGGUAAUGAUACUGAAUUCAUACAAGGAUACUGCAGUGAUAUGUGUAACCAAACAUCGACUUGUUGUAACCAGCACUGACACCCGUCGUAACCCGGGGAGAAGAUAUUAACUUUCCUCCAGUCGGCAUUUGCCACAGGUGUUUGCCCUGAUUUUAUGUUCUGCCCAUUCCUGUUUUCCUUCUCUCUCUCUCCUCUAAGUUCUGCCUCCUUUGCCCUUCCCAAUAUUUACUGUUGAUAUGUCGACACAGACAAGCUAGGGUAACUUUCCCCGCCCUAGGGCAUCCGGGCGAAGAAAUGCAGCUGCAGCCAGGAGCCAGGUGCUGGUUAUAAGCGGAAGGGGAAUUAGAAAAGGAACUCUCAGGUCAUGAAGGAAUACCUGCCUCACAUUACAGAGUUAAGGAAAGAAAAUAAUAAGUUCAGUGGCUUUGAUCCCUCAGACUGAUUUAAUAGAAGAAGGCUUAAUUUAAAAGUGGUAUAAAAGAGACUGAAUAUUUUCACAACACAAGAGAUGUAGUUCUGAAGACGGGGUAACCCGAAACGCGUCAAUUACAUCUCUUGUGUUGUGAAAAUAUUCAGUCUCUUUUAUACCACUUUUAUCCAUUUGUCACAAUGAACUCAGUUCAAGGCUUAAUUUAUUAAAUCAACGGCUUAGAAUAUGAAAUAAUAUGAUCACCAAAUGGCUAAUGAACUGUGCUUCUCUAACUUAACAAUAAAUAAAAUUUGUUAUUAAUCGUGUUAUAUCUAACAUCUGAAUAAGGGAAUGAGCAGCUGUAAGCGUUUUCAACAAAAAAUUGCUUCAGUUUUAUAUGUUUGAAGUUAUAUGUUGACACCAAUGGAUAAAAAGUGGAGGUAAUCUGUAUA